CGUCACUUCUGUCUUGAUUAGUUAAAAGAUAGAACAGUCUAGCCAAGUGCCAUGUCUCUUAUUCUUGAUCAGCUAUAGCUCUGGAGUUUUUGCAGAUUUUCAAAUAAAACUCAGAGAUUCCUUGUAUGACUCUCUAAAUCUCUCUUUUGUGGUAUUUCUGGAUCCUUACCAAGGCAGUGAUGGUAUAUGCCUUCUCUCAAGAUAUGUGGUAUUUGUAGUAUAAGGCAUAGUGACAUUGCCUUCUCUCUCACCCUACUCUAAUAAGGCUUUAAUAUCUGGAGCUCAUAGGUGGGAGACAGCUAAUACAUACUUACAAGACAUUUAUUGCAUAGUCAAACCAUGGAUCCAGAGAAACAAGUCAAUAAGUCAAAUCAAGAUGUGCAUGUGUGGUGAAUGAAUGGUGUAUGGUGAUGAUGGUGAUAACAAUGGUGGAAGUCUAAUUCUACUUUUGCUCUUUUGAGGGGAUACAUACCUUCCUUGCUUUUUGAAACUUUAUGAGGAGAAUGAGAUGCUCUUCUUUUUCUUUUCUCUCAGGUGGGUAUCUUGUACCCCUAAUUCUACUGUCGGACACUUGUCCAUUUUUACCUCUCGUCUCACUCUUUUUCUUUUCUUUCGAGGUUCUGGGCACUUGCCCCUUUUUAUGUCCUCGUAUAUUUUUUCUCUCCUCUUUUUUUUAGAGCACUCAUCUCAUGAGAUAAUACAGCAAGUGGUAGUAACAAGAUAACUUGAGCAUUUAUUUCACAAGGAAAAACAGAAAUAUUUUUGGUUAUUCUCUCCCGGAUUAGGAGUAGAAUAUUUUUGGGUGGUUCUGGAGAUGGACAUGGAUGGAUAUAUGUGGAUGGUACUCCCGGAGUAGAAGUAGCAUAUAUGAGUGAACGUGCAAGUGAAUCUUGAUUUAACCACAUGACAAGCUCCUAAGGGUCUACAUAGCUUGACCAUACUCAAUGCUCAUAAGCAGUAAAAAGUAAAUGUGUGGCUCAAAGUCUAGCAAGCAUGUAUAUAUGGCUGUGGUAGGAAUUUAAAUUUUCAUCAUACAGGAACUCAUCAUGCAAUAUUUUAAAGAUUUUUCAAAGAUAAAAUUCUCUAUAAUUCUAGCAUCUCUAGGAACAGAUAAACAACAGCUCAACCUUCCCAUAUCAUAUCCGUUAACAACAUAGAUUUCAGAUCAAGUUUUCAUCCCACAAGUUUAGAUCUAGAGCAAGCUUUAAAUUAUAACAGUUAUGUCUAAACUUGAGAGAGAACUUCAAAU
rnacentral:lncRNA from 1 species